rnacentral:lncRNA from 1 species
CCACGAUUAGAGCCAGAAGGGCCUCCUCCAGAGGAGCACUGCUGUGGCCCCAAUAAGGCCUGAAACUAAAACUGUUCGUUCUGAAGAUUUUGUUCAAUUAAAUGUGGUGUGGCUUUGUCCUACCAGCAGCACAGGUAGGUUGGGGUUUGGAAACCCAAGGCCUGUAGCGGAAACUGAGGAAGGAAAUGGCAGCUGAGGGGGAGGAGAGAGGAAAGUCAGAUGCCACAGCAAGGAUAACACAACCAGGUGUCUUGGUUCUCACAGGCCCUGGUCAGACCAAGAACCUGAUAUGAUGACAAGCUAAACAUAAUAAACAUGGGACACGUCUGCAGAAGAGUGGUUUU